CGUAAAUGUGAAGUGCGGGAGGACUGGAACUGGGAAGCCCAAAUACAGCAAAUUGAUCAAAUUAGGCAGAGAGAUAGCCUAAGCUGUCAAUAAGAACAGUGGUUUUUGAUGCUUGACUCAUUGGAGGGUCCCAGUUGGAUUUUGCCACCAAAGUGUGUGUUAAGGAAGGAAGGUAGUAGAGUGAAGUGGCUGGAGUCAAAUCUCAACUCUCAGAGGCAUCUUGUAGGAGACACAGAAAAGAAGUUUUUAUCUUCUCAUCCCUUUCACCUAAAAGCAAGCCAGGCAGCUGCUUUGGGCUGAAGUUAGUCCCAUUUCCCCUUCAGUAUGUCAGGCAGAAAAAUUGGCCUGGCCAUCAACUCAGCAAAGGAAGUUUGCCUUCUCUGCUUGUACCCUCCCUUCCUCAGCAAGACUGGGAGAAAGGAUCCUCUCCUCUUCCUUCAGUAGACAGGAUUUAACCUCUGGAAAGAAGGGCAGAAGCCAUGCCUUGGAAUAGCUGUGUGUGUGUGUGCAAAAGAAAAAACAAAGGUCAGGUUCAGGGACAUGAUUUAACCUCUGGAAAGAAGGGCAGAAGCCAUGCCUUGGAAUAGGUGUGUGUGUGUGCAAAAGAAAAAACAAAGGUCAGGUUCAGGGACAUGAUUUAACCUCUGGAAAGAAGGGCAGAAGCCAUGCCUUGGAAUAGGUGUGUGUGUGUGUGUGUGUGUGUGUGUGUGUGUGUGUGUGUGUGUGUGUGUGUGUGUGUGUGUGUGUGCGCGCGCGUGUGUGUGUGUGCGUGCGCUCUGGAAAGAAGGGCAGAAGCCAUGCCUUGGAAUAGGUGUGUGUGUGUG